UGACUGAGAGCUAUCAGUUUGUCCUUUCGAGAAAAAUAAAAGGCCAACACCAUGGUUAAAAAGGGUUUUUGUUAACCAUGCUCAAAGUUGCCACUACUCGUGUAUCAUCCAAGCUAUCAUGUGUGUUGAUGGAAAGCGAUCUAUUUGCAAUUAGACUGACUGAAAGCUAUCAGAUUGUCCUUUCCAAUUGCUGAAAAAGUUUCUUGGUUGGAUGCCAACAUCAGCCGUGUGAAGGCAACUCUUAAGACUAAGGACUUGCCUAUUAAAGCCGCUGCCUUCCAUAGCGAACACCAGGCUUUUGAAAGCAGCAUGAAUCCAGUUUUGAACAAACCCAAACCACAGCCUCCUGCCCCACCGGCUGAAGCUGCACAGUCGGGCAAGCCAGAGGAUGCUGCCAACGGCUCAACAAUAGUGCUCCCAGAAUUGAUCCGCGGACCGCAGUCCCGACUCCAUCAUGCGAAAUUAAUUGGCCGUGCAUCACCAACUUAUAUCGGAUGGGCGCUCCGUAUUGAAAACUAUUGCUAAAUUUCAUAAAGCUUUACAUAAUUUUGCUUGGACAAUCAUGUGUAAGUGGUGUAUAAAAUGAAAUGCGUGUUGAAUACAAAUUUUAAAUCGCG